CACGUAGGGGGCAAGCGUUGUCCGGAUUUAUUGGGCGUAAAGAGCUCGUAGGCGGUUCGGUAAGUCGGGUGUGAAACCUCCAGGCUCAACCUGGAGAGGCCACCUGAUACUGCUGUGACUCGAGUCCGGUAGGGGAGCGUGGAAUUCCUGGUGUAGCGGUGAAAUGCGCAGAUAUCAGGAGGAACACCAGCGGCGAAGGCGGCAUCCUGGACUGGUCCUGACACUCAGGAGCGAAAGCGUGGGGAGCGAUCCGG
rnacentral:rRNA from 1 species